CAGAGGUGGCAAGCGUUGUUCGGAAUUACUGGGCGUAAAGGGCGAGUAGGUGGCCAUCUAAGUCAGACGUGAAAUCCCCCGGCUUAACCUGGGAACUGCGUCUGAUACUGGACGGCUAGAGUAUGGGAGAGGAAUGUAGAAUUCCAGGUGUAGCGGUGAAAUGCGUAGAUAUCUGGAGGAAUACCGGUGGCGAAGGCGGCAUUCUGGACCAUUACUGACACUGAAUCGCGAAAGCUAGGGGAGCAAACGGGAUUAGAUACCCCGGUAGUCCUAGCCCUAAACGAUGAAUGCUUGGUGUGGCGGGUAUCGAUCCCUGCCGUGCCGAAGCUAACGCAUUAAGCAUUCCGCCUGGGGAGUACGGUCGCAAGGCUG
rnacentral:rRNA from 1 species